CCGAGGAGUCCCAGUCGGCUGCGAGUCGUUGGAGCCAAUCGAGCUACUAACUCCGACGGCACAGUGAAAGCGAGAACGUGACACGUCGUCGCCGGCAUCGUUCACGCGCUGUCGGCGGCGUCUCGAAGCAUCGUUCCCGGGUCGGGCCAGCGCGCGUGGCUAACGCAAGCUCGCCUUGUUAUUACCGGCUGCGCGCGCUCCGACUCAGGUCUAGCAGACGGCCGGGGACCCGAAAGAUGGCGAUCCACGCCCGGUCGGGACGAAGCCAGAGGAAACUCUGGUGGAAGUCCGAAGCGCCUCUGACGUGCAAAUCGAUCGUCGGAACCGGGUGUAGGGGCGAAAGACCAAUCGAGCCGUCUA
rnacentral:rRNA from 1 species